rnacentral:snRNA from 1 species
AGUCCGGCUUCUCAUUUCUCCGG